GGAUGCGAUCAUACCAGCACUAAAGCACCGGAUCCCAUCAGAACUCCGAAGUUAAGCGUGCUUGGGCGAGAGUAGUACUAGGAUGGGUGACCUCCUGGUAAGUCCUCGUGUUGUAUUCC
rnacentral:rRNA from 1 species